rnacentral:SRP_RNA from 1 species
AGUUGGGUUCUACGCGGCGCACACUUGCCAACCCCGCCAGGACCGGGAGGUAGCAACGGUACGUGAGUCACUGCGGGUGUCGUAGAGCAGCCUAACUGUU